UACGUAGGGGGCAAGCGUUGUCCGGAAUCAUUGGGCGUAAAGCGCGCGUAGGCGGCCAGAUAAGUCCGGUGUGAAAGUCACAGGCUCAACCUGUGAAUGCCGCUGGAAACUGUCUGGCUUGAGUCCGGAAGGGGCGAGUGGAAUUCCUGGUGUAGCGGUGAAAUGCGCAGAUAUCAGGAGGAACACCAAUGGCGAAGGCAGCUCUCUGGGACGGUACUGACGCUGAGACGCGAAAGCGUGGGGAGCGAACAGG
rnacentral:rRNA from 1 species